CAAAGAAUAGUUUAAUAAAAAUAUUAAUUUUGGAGAUUAAAGAUAUUAAGAUUUUAAUUUCUUUGA
rnacentral:tRNA from 1 species